CAGCAUUCGGCAGUAGUCGCGUUUGAGCGUUCACUCGAUCAAGCAGCACUGUUUGCUGGCAUGGCAGGUGCAGAUGUCGUAAUCGGUGUCAUUUUCCGAGCGGAAGCGUGCCCCAGGAGCCCUUAAUCGAUGCGUUUCAGCGCGAUCGAUCGUUUGGUGCCCAACGGGGCCCUUGUGACCGAGGAAAAGUGCCUGAAAAACGAGUGCCAAAAGUGAAAAUUUUUCACUGCUGCCCGAGUGAAAAAGCAAGAUGGCGGCGACUGACAAUGUGAGUGCUAUGUCCAAGCAUUGUGGACAGUGCGCUGAGUGUGUGCAAUGUGUAGCUUUCAGGUUGAGUGCCCGAAAUAGGUGCCACUCAUUCAUACGCACGGACACUAUAGGAUAUGUUAUUCAUCGACGAACAAGCUUCGCGAUUACGAAACGUCGUAAUAAAAGUCGGUGUUUGCACCCUCUUUUCUAGUGCUGGUAGCCUCGGUCCGGCUCUCAGCCAAGGUGCCGAUAUGUGUCGCGUUUUUUUUCUUUAGCAAUAUGGCGGCUGAUUUUUCUCAUUUUGAUGAAUGAUUAAUUUAUGAUUUUAGCCAAUUUUGUGUUUGUCUGUGAUCGACAGUCAUCAAAACUGGACAUGAGUGAGCUGGGACCUGAUCUUUCGAAGCAUACGGCUUUCUUGGAACCCACAAACGAGUCCAAAUGGACCAAAAUCAACACCAACAUAACUGUAGCUCGACUUGAACUGUUCUAACAAUGACGAAAGCUGGCGACUACGACAUGCUGAUGACGAUGUACUAUGCAUAUUAUGGUCGAUGAAAAAGAGCUAUCUGCUAACGUAUCGAAGUUUAGGAAAAUAAAUAAACCAAAGCAUAUUGGGCGACAAAAAAAAAACAUGCUCCUGCUCGAUGUGAGAACGUAAAACACCCACUAAAACACUAGCCAAUCCGGUAGCGAAGGGUUGCUGAGGGUGCAAUAAAAGGAGUUGCUUCCAAUGACAAGGAUCACAGAUGUAAGCUCAGGAAGAGCAAGUGAGCUUUAUCCGUACGACGAAGCUUUGGAUAAAAGUUGAAAUUUGAAAUUAAUCUAUUGGACAUUGCCCGAAUGGUAUGGUUGAUGCUAUAUAUUUUUGAAAAAAACAGUAAUUGAAAUGUCAAUCAUAGUAUCGCUUUGAUUGAUCAUUGGAAGAAAGAGUAUUGUAUGAAAUCCAACAGAAUAAAUGCGCAUAAACUGA